GGCGGUUUGAUAAGUNUGAAGUUAAAGGCUGUGGCUCAACCAUAGUUCGCUUUGGAAACUGUCAAACUNGAGUACAGAAGGGGAGAGUGGAAUUCCAUGUGUAGCGGUGAAAUGCGUAGAUAUAUGGAGGAACACCGGUGGCGAAAGCGGCUCUCUGGUCUGUAGCUGACGCUGAGGCUCGAAAGCGUGGGGAGCGAACAGGAUUAGAUACCCUGGUAGUNCACGCCGUAAACGAUGAGUGCUAGGUGUUGGAUCCUUUCCGGGAUUCAGUGCCGCAGCUAACGCAUUAAGCACUCCGCCUGGGGAGUACGACCGCAAGGUUGAAACUCAAAGGAAUUGACGGGGGCCCGCACAAGCGGUGGAGCAUGUGGUUUAAUUCGAAGCAACGCGAAGAACCUUACCAGGUCUUGACAUCCCGAUGCUAUUUCUAGAGAUAGAAAGUUACUUCGGUACAUCGGUGACAGGUGGUGCAUGGUUGUCGUCAGCUCGUGUCGUGAGAUGUUGGGUUAAGUCCCGCAACGAGCGCAACCCUAUUGUUAGUUGCCAUCAUUCAGUUGGGCACUCUAGCGAGACUGCCGGUAAUAAACCGGAGGAAGGUGGGGAUGACGUCAAAUCAUCAUGCCCCUUAUGACCUGGGCUACACACGUGCU
rnacentral:rRNA from 1 species